AGUGUACUGCUUCCUCAUUAAAUGUCUCACGUGACAGAAAAAAACGGAGAGUUGGGAAAAUCAAAGAAAAGAAACAACGAAGCUGAAAGGAGAAAGAGCCGUUGGGUUGUGGGAGUCUCUGUCGUCCUGAGAGAGAUGAAGGAAAGAAAUGGAGAGUUGGGAAAAGAAACAGAGAAGCUGAAAGGAGAAAGAGCCGUUGGAGUGAUUUGGAACGGUAUCUUCUAGCGUUGAGCUUGUUGGGCUCAUAAUUUGCCUUCAUUCAGCUGCAAAGAUUUCAUAUAGAUCUCUAAGUCUUGCAGCAAUUUCAAGCAGAUGUCAUGCUUUAGUUACGUGCAACCCCAAUGAUGUUUCUCAAAGGGGAAUUUCAAGUAAUGGUGGGAACUUGGAGGCUGCUAUUCCAGCAGGUUCAUUGCCCAUCAACUACUCAGAAAGUGAUCUGGAGUCGAUCGAUUAUUUCCCAGUACCUACAAAUACUCAAAUGGCCUAUUACAUAUCCAUGAAUCAUAAGAGACAAGCUUUUGCUUCUUCAAUAGCAGCUUUAGGUGCCAUCUUUAAUUGAUAGGCUCUCUUGCUGCGAGUCUUUCAGGAGACUUAGGAUUACUCUCUCUUCCUCACAAAUAGACACAGAUUAGACUUCAGAGAUGUAUGUUACAACUCAACCUGAUAACUAAUUCAUUUCAGCUGCAGAUUUCCCUUUUUGCCAUUCUACUAUAUUUAAGGUCAAUAAGUCUUCACCUUCAAUUUUGUCCAAGUCAUGCACUUGCAACAUACUGCUUUACACUAAACUGAUCAUCUCACACAUAUCAUCUUUAUUAUUCACACACAAUGGAUACACUUAUUGCUCUGAAUUUAUGUACAUUCUCAUGAAGUUUUAAUCAA